GACGAACGCUGGCGGCGUACUUAACACAUGCAAGUCGAACGGAAAGGCCCUGCUUUUGUGGGGUGCUCGAGUGGCGAACGGGUGAGUAACACGUGAGUAACCUGCCCUUGACUUUGGGAUAACUUCAGGAAACUGGGGCUAAUACCGGAUAGGAGCUCCUGCUGCAUGGUGGGGGUUGGAAAGUUUCGGCGGUUGGGGAUGGACUCGCGGCUUAUCAGCUUGUUGGUGGGGUAGUGGCUUACCAAGGCUUUGACGGGUAGCCGGCCUGAGAGGGUGACCGGCCAAAUUGGGACUGAGAUACGGCCCAGACUCCUACGGGAGGCAGCAGUGGGGAAUAUUGCACAAUGGGCGGAAGCCUGAUGCAGCAACGCCGCGUGCGGGAUGACGGCCUUCGGGUUGUAAACCGCUUUCGCCUGUGACGAAGCGUGAGUGACGGUAAUGGGUAAAGAAGCACCGGCUAACUACGUG
rnacentral:rRNA from 1 species